UUUUAUGGUAGAGGCGCAUCUUAUAAUAAAUAGUUGAUAUUUAAAUCUGUUUCACAGACAGGAAUCAACGAAAGGUAUGGAUGCCGAAGACAGCCAAGGUGAAAGGCUGAUCUGGUUUGAGUAAAUAAGAUUGCUCCGACUGUCGCAUUUUGCGGAGAGCUAUCUGAAAA
rnacentral:ncRNA from 2 species